GGGUGCGGAAUAAGUAGGUAACGUGCCCCGCACUACAGGAUAGCGUCCGGAACUUCCGUUCCUUCCGAAAGGGGCGGUAAUACUGUAUAAUGUCAUAAAACAUAAGUUUUAUGACCAAAGAUUUAUCGGUGUAGGAGCGGCCUAUUUCCUAUCAGCUUGUUGGUGAGGUAACGGCUCACCAAGGCAGCGACGGGUAGCGGGACUGAGAGGUUGACCCGCCACAUCGGGACUGAGACACUGCCCGGACCUCCACGGAGGGCUGCAGUAACGAAUAUUGCGCAAUGGACGAAAGUCUGACGCAGCAACGCCGCGUGUAGGAUGAAGCCCCUCGGGGUGUAAACUACUGUCAGGGGUCAGAAAGUGCGCUUCGGCGCAUUGAUCAGCCCCAGAGGAAGUCACGGCUAACUUCGUGCCAGCAGCCGCGGUAAUACGAAGGUGGCGAGCGUUGUUCGGAAUCACUGGGCUUAAAGCGCGCGUAGGCGGAAUGGCAUGUGCUUUGUGAAAUCCCACGGCUUAACCGUGGAAUUGCUUGGCAAACUGCUAUUCUUGAGGCAAGCAGGGGUGUAUGGAACUCUUGGUGGAGCGGUGGAAUGCGUAGAUAUCAAGAGGAACGCCAAUGGCGAAGGCAGUACACUGGGCUUGUCCUGACGCUGAGGUGCGAAAGCGUGGGGAGCGAACGGGAUUAGAUACCCCGGUAGUCCACGCUGUAAACGAUGUCUACUAGGUUGUGGAAGUUCUGACGCUUUCACGGCCGAAGCAAAAGUGUUAAGUAGACCGCCUGGGGAGUACGGUCGCAAGGCUAAAACUCAAAGGGAUUGACGGGGGCUCACACAAGCGGUGGAGCAUGUGGAUUAAUUCGAAGCAACGCGCAGAACCUUACCUGGGUUUGACAUGCUUGGAUGCCUGCCUGGAAACAGGUUAGGUUGCCCUUCGGGGUGAAACUUGCACAGGUGCUGCAUGGCUGUCGUCAGCUCGUGUCGUGAGAUGUCGGGUUAAG
rnacentral:rRNA from 1 species